rnacentral:rRNA from 1 species
GACGUAGGGUGCGAGCGUUGUCCGGAUUUAUUGGGCGUAAAGAGCUCGUAGGCGGCUCGUCGCGUCGACCGUGAAAACCCGCGGCUUAACUGCGGGCUUGCGGUUGAUACGGGCGGGCUAGAGUUCGGUAGGGGAGACUGGAAUUCCUGGUGUAGCGGUGAAAUGCGUAGAUAUCGGGAGGAACACCUGAGGCGAAGGCGGGUUACUGGGCUGAUACUGACGCUGAUGCGCGAAAGCCAGGGGAGCAAACGGG